GCUUCCUUGGCUCAGUUGGUAGAGCGUUGGUCUCAUACACAGAGUAUGAGUAAUCAGAUUGAUUACAUAACCCACAUCCAAAGGUCGCCAGUUCGAGCCUGGCAGGGAGCA